rnacentral:rRNA from 1 species
UGGGGAAUUUUGGACAAUGGGGGAAACCCUGAUCCAGCCAUCCCGCGUGUGCGAUGAAGGCCUUCGGGUUGUAAAGCACUUUUGGCAGGGAAGAAACGGCGCUGAAUAAUACUUGGCGUCACUGACGGUACCUGCAGAAUAAGCACCGGCUAACUACGUGCCAGCAGCCGCGGUAAUACGUAGGGUGCAAGCGUUAAUCGGAAUUACUGGGCGUAAAGCGUGCGCAGGCGGUUUGGAAAGAAAGAUGUGAAAUCCCAGAGCUUAACUUUGGAACUGCAUUUUUAACUGCCAAGCUAGAGUAUGUCAGAGGGGGGUAGAAUUCCACGUGUAGCAGUGAAAUGCGUAGAGAUGUGGAGGAAUACCGAUGGCGAAGGCAGCCCCCUGGGAUAAUACUGACGCUCAUGCACGAAAGCGUGGGGAGCAAACA